rnacentral:lncRNA from 1 species
UUUAAUUCUCCUUUUGCACUCCUUGGUGGCUCUGUGAUGGGAGGACAGACCCUGUCUCACUGCUGCCACCUGUGUUGCUUUUGCUGUGCUCACCCCUUCUGUCUUCAUGUCACCGUGUGGGGUUCCAAUUGUAUGAGAAUUCUUCCUUAGGCUCCACCAGUGUUGCCACCUUUCUCAGCUAUGCAGAGUUCAAACCAUUUUCCUACUACAUCUCCAGAAUGACAGGAACAUUUGGUAACAGUGAGCACACCUGGGCUCGCUUCUGGAGUGGUUGCAGAACCAGAAGGGCUGGGAAGAUUUGUUCUGAAUUUUUGUGUCUCAGCUUGGAUCUGGAUUGUUCGUUACUCUGCCUCAAUGCUCAAGCCAACUAGCUUUGCUGAGAGGUAGAGAUAAACCUGGAAUUCAUUCCUAGUUAAAAAUGACUGCGCUGUUAAAACAUCCUCAUAGGGUGAUGCCGUUACUUGUAGACUUACAAUAAAUCAUGGCUACACUGAAAGUCCA